rnacentral:lncRNA from 1 species
GUCAAUAACCUAGGGCUUCACCAUGCCAAAUCCAAAAUGUUCUGUUGUUGAUCUCUGGUAUCAACAGCUCAGAAACUGCAGAACAGACCCCUGACAGUUACCAACACUUUCCUCCAAACAGCAUUCUGUUUACUGUUUCAUGUAUUCUCAGGCACAUGCACACGAAGACGGAUCAAGCCGCUACCCCAAACCGGCAGCAAAUGACUAUUCUUUUGUUACUGACCAUCAGGAGUUCAACUUUGCUCCACUUUGGGAAGUGGAACAAAUGCUCUGGUGAAGACAGGGAGCACAGGACAUAUUUACCUGGAGGGGAUAUCAAAGAGCAGCCUCAAGACUUGCAAAACAAAGUCGUCCCAAUGAAUUAUCUGUGCCUACAGCCGCACUUGGCACCUUCGGCUAAGCCAGCGUCUGACAAGCAGUUGUUCCCACGGCAGCCACCCCUGCCUUCCAUCUUAGGGACUCACCCAGAAAAUUCUCCAACCUGCUCCACGACUACAAAACUCUUCUAAUGCUUUUGAACGCCCACCAUUUGUUCUCCAUUCAUCCAAUCAACUUUCCACUGCACAUCUUCUCUCUCUACCGGCGCCCAGGCAAGGGGCCACUUCUCAUCUGUAUGCUAAUUAUUUUGCCACAUGGACAAAAGUAAUAAUGCUUUCAGACAGGAAACUAACAGGCCUGAAGUCGAAGAUGGAAAUUAAUAAGUUGACACCACUAAACGACAGGGAAGACGGGCAUGCGUACAGCGCUCUGCCGGGCGGGUGAAGUGCAGCCUCCAUCAAAAGGCAGCAGACAGACAGCGCCGGGCUGCGAGUCCCGCCUGUGCUGCGUGCAUCAGGCUCACGCUCCCUUAGAGACCACAUCGCUGCAGCAGAAGAGCCUCGGAAGCAUCCUGCUGACUUACCCUGUCUCAGGCUGCCUCCUUGAAGCAACACAAAACAUAUCCACUUCCCCAAAUCCUAAGGUGGGAGGGAACUUCACUGCUGAUCUAGAUAUUUUUCAAGCUACAGCUGUGGAUUAAACCAGUAAUUUCUAACCUUCCUGUGUAUCAAGCUUGCAACACAGUCAGACACGAGUGGAGAUGUGUGCAGUAUGCUGCUUGCCUUGUACCCACAGGCCCCUAAAUCUCUAGAGCAGAAUGUGUAUCAUGAGCAGUGCUGUAUUUAAUGUAAUAGAUGAGAACUGUAAAUACCGGAGUCAGGCUGUUAGCAGCUACCAGCUAGGCAAUAUAUCUAAAAAUAUCUCUCGUAUCAUUGAUGUUAUGGUAAAUUCAUGCUGUGGCCAAAGAAACCUCACAGAAGUAAGCUGAACCUACAGUAUUUUAGAUGGCAUUGCUGGUUAACAUCCAAGCAAAACAAAAAGAGGUUCCAAAACCUGUCACUUCUUAAAAUAAAAGAAUGGUGACACAAGAGUUAACUCUAACCAAUUCUUAAAAUCGUUUUCGGGUUGCCAACCUCACUAUAUUAUUCUGUUUCAGUAUGAGCUUCUUGCAUCGUUUUCUUUUAAAACAAAAGCUAUGAAACUACUUGUCUAAGAAAGUUAAAACAUUUUUCACCUUUUAUUAUUGUUUGAAGAAAAAAAUAUAGAAAAAGUUUUCUUUGAAAAGACAAGUCCUAAUAUGGUUUUUAAAAUAGCUAAGGGAACAUAGAUACCUGAUGUUCAUUAGCAUUUUUUUCUGGCUUAAAAAAGUGCUGAUUUUAUAAAUGGCUUCUUGAGUCAAGCCACAGAUGUUUUACUCUGGUGGUGACCAUACCGUUUCACUCUCUGCAAACCUCUCUCCUAUAACACUCACCGCUAUGAAAGGCUACGUUAAAUCAUAAAGGCUACUUUAGCACCUCCCACCCUCGCCCCAGGAAACUAGCCUUGAAUACACAGACUCAUGUUUAACAACAACUCCGGGCAGCAUGCAGACAUAGCAGUGCCCACAAUGGCAUUACACUGAAGGAGAAGCUCUUUUGAGAGAGGGUCCAUUGUUGGCGCGUUCACACGCCUAACCAAGAGACUUUAGGAAGUGUUGUGUAUGCAAUCAAAUGAGAGCUGGAGAUAGGCAGGCAGGUGGAGAAACAACUAUUUUUGAAGUACUUAAGAGAAGAACUGGGAGCUGCAACCACCAGGCAAAUUAAGAAAAAAAGAAAUCCUAUGUAACCUUUACAAUAAAAGGAAAGAGGUACCUUUUUGUGGAAGAGCUGGUGGCCAUCAAGCCAAAUCCUGUUCCGCAGUCUGCUUCUCACCCACGCAGGGCUCUGUCUGCCGUGGAGAGACCAUCGCACGUGCUGGUCACAGUUCCCUCUGUGUUUCCAUUCCAUUCACCCCUACCCUCUGGCGCCCGCACUCCACCAGCCCACUAUCCACAGUGAGUGAGAGUCGAGAGCAGAACAGCACGAGGGAGCAGCCACUGCAGGCUUUCCACAGAGCACAGCUCUGACUGUGGUUUCCGUGGGGAGACUGACAGAGAAGCCCCAAGUUACCAGGAACACCCUCUUCCAGCUCUCAGAGGUAAUUCCUCUGAAGACCGAGCUCUUCCCUGAUGUGUUGGGACCAGACUUACUGGUUACUAUAGAGGCUGCAAUUCCCUUCCCAUCGAGCCCUGCUAGACACCACUGCAGUCUGAAAGCAAGGAAAGCUUUAAGAGAAUGUCCUGUACCAUUCCAUCUUCUCACAACACAAUACUCCUUACAGUAAGACUAAAAUAUUCCCCCCCGCCAACUUUUCCAAUAAUCACCACGUGGGGAGCAGAGAUUAUUUUAAAAGAGGUACAUGGUAGGAAAAUUUUCCUAGCAGAACAGCCUAAUACAGCAAUGCUUAUCACUCUUUCUCUAUCUAAUAAAUAAGCAUUCAUGCAUUCUUUCUAGUUUUAUAACACCUGGCUUACAUUUUCUCUGCCAUCUCUGAUUACUUCUACAGAUACCCUGAGGACUCAUUAUGAUGUCAAAGCCAAAAACACUUCCAUUGUAGAAACAUGCAUAGAAAAAUCACUGUGUAUGCUUGAACAAUGCAGGUGUGAAAGAAACACAGAGAGAAGAGAGGGUGGCAAAACAGACAAACAGGGACCAAGUUAAAGAGAGAGGGGGCAGAAGAGAGAGAAAGGAAAGUGGAGAGAAAGAGAGAGAAGAGACAAGACACAAAGAUAUUACAAACAGAACCACAUUGCAUUGAAAUAGCCCACUGAUGGAAAAAAUGGAUAGCUGUUGCCUUUAAAUAAUCUAAUAUCAGAAAAAAUCAUGCAAUAAAAUACUAUAAAAGUAGA